UGCAUUCAGCAUCACGGCAGAUGAUUUUGAUGCUUGGAAAUUCAUAACCUACAGUAGGAAGCUCACUACAUCAAUGCCAAGUCCAAGCAGGGAAUUAUUUAAGCUUGAAGGGAAUAUUAAAUGAUGUGAACUCCUAGAUCGAUCUGCUUUUGACUUGAAUGACUUCCCUUAGUUGACAUGAGGCCCUAGUUCUACUGGAGGGCCACAAGGAGAAUUGGGUUCUCUUUGGAAGCAAAAUGUUGGUGUUACUUCUAUCAUCCAGCAGAACCAGGAUUUCAACAUCCAAAAUGAAGGUGUCCUAGCUUUACCUAGCUUUAAAGGAGCUAUUUUAUUCUUGGGACCUAGAUUAUGAGGGGCUGCUUUAGUGAUUAAGCAUCAUGACAGAUAAUUUCGAUGCUUGGAAAUUCAUAUCCUACAACAGGAGGCUCACUACAUCAGUGCCAAGUCCAAGUAGGGAAUUAUUUAAGCUUGAAGGGAAUGUUAAAUGAUGUGAACUCCUAGAUCGAUCUGCUUUUGACUUGAAUGACUUCCGUUAGUUAACAUGACGCACUAGUCCUGCUAGAGGGGCACAAGGAGAAUUGGUUUCUCUUCGGAAGCAAAAUGUUGGUGUUACUUCUAUCGUCCAACAGAACCAGGAUUUCAACCUCCAAAAUGAAGAUGUCCCAGAUUUACCCGGAUUUAAAGGUGCAAUUUUGUUCUUGGGACCUAGAUUAUGAGAGGUUGCUUUAGUGAUCAAGGAAAAUGAAUUUGGCGUCCUAUAUUCUUUUAAAUACUGCAUUGCAAGGAUUUGGAAUUCCCUGGCUGCUUGGUCAAUACUAUAAAAUGUUAUUGGUUGUUGUGAUACAUCUCAUCGCUCACAAGUAUUUCUACAUGUCACCUCUCAAGCAUGCGCAAUGAUCUUUAAUUGCUGAUUUUGUAAUGAAUUUGCAUAAGAAAGAACAGCUUCAUAGCAAUGAUGUGUCCAUGAUGCAAUCCCACCACUACCCAAAGUAAGUACUGGCUUCUAUGUGCAAGACUGAGAUGCCCGGCCCAUUCAUAGGAUUCCAUGCAAUGGUUUGCACUUUUUUCCUAAAAGAAUAAGUCAGAAACAAAAAGUAAAUCACAGGAACUACACAAGUAUGUGAUCCCUUUUGCCUUUUAUUUUAGCCUCGCUUGCUUCACAUGCAGUAAAUUUGGUAUUGUCUAUUACUUGCUUCAAAAUAUUGAUUGGUCGGUCUACUGGAUUAAGCUUUGGGGGAACAUAUUCAUCUUAUCUUCCACAGAAAAAGCGGCAACAUGCUCCUUCAGUCAGCAGCAGUGGGGUUUCCAUUACUUUUGCUAACAGUAAAGACAUUAUCCAUUUACAGUAAUUGGGUCCCAUCCUGCCAUGCAGCCUAUCGCUCAAAGGUGAUAGAAAUCUUGUGGAAACUGGUAUGUAUUAUGGUAUUUGUUGCAUGAUAGUCUACAUUAUAAUAAUUGUAAAUAUAUAUUGAUACGUAUGUGUUGUCCUUAGUCAAACGUACGAUUGACUUGCUAAAUAUUAUGAUAUAUACAAGGUGGCAGUACAAGUGUUCUUUCCCCAAUUUUCAAACUUCUUUCAGUACUACUUGAUUUUUAUUACAAUGUGUGGAAGACUUAUGCAUUUAUUAUUGAACCUUUGUUCUAAUACUUUCUGUUUGUGGUAUCAUAUGAAAAUAUUUUCUUGAGAUAAUGUGGUUUAGUUCUUUUUCUUUUUUGUUUUAAAAAUUUUCUCUUCUUAAUGUUGAGUAGGAUGUUAUCUUUGAGGU